rnacentral:lncRNA from 1 species
CAGGGUUCACCGCCACCUCCCACCCCAGCUCCUGCGACGUUGCCCACCGGCCGCCGCCAACCCAUCUUCUCCCCUUCUCUUCCCGGCGGCAGAAGCAGCUCACCAGCACGGGCGACAGAGAGAUGGACGAGGAGACCGAGCAAUCCGCGAUGCCAUCGACUCGCCCUUCGCUCGUGGGGUGGAGAAGAACUAGGAGGUGGAGCAGUCCACGGAGUCGCCGCCGCCGCCCUCGCCGUCGAGCCUUCUGUGACGCUGUCGCCAUCAUCUAGCCCUUCUCCACGCGGGGCGCAGAGAUGGGCGAGGACGCCGGUAGGAAGGAGCAGCAGCUCGAUGACAGGAAGCAGCAGCUCACUCAUUCCUAGGUAUACUCAGAUCGUUGCUCCCAAUCCCCUUCCCCCCUCCCUCUCUUGAUGGGAUCUAGCACGGUUGAAUCACGGCGGCUGGCUCGCUGGCCAAGUGGCCGCCACUCUCCUCGUCGUUUUCGACAGCGUGAAGAAGAUCAAUGUUCAGAUGGACGCACACUACAUGAACAGUAGAGGUCCUAUAUGGAUUUUUGCCGAAUCCAUUUUCCUUUUCUUACUUGUGUUUGCACAUCUCUUAACUUGACAAACAUUUGGCAUAUGAAGACUCCCAACACCUUCAGUUUACAACAUCGGGGAACAAUUGAAAAAUAUGUUGGAAAGCUGCGAAGGAAUAACAACACUAUGUUGGAUUUCAAUCCUCUUCGAGCAAAAUUGAAAUGUUUGAGAUAUGACCUUCAUGUGUUGGUGGGGAAGUGAUUCAAGAAAUUUAUAUUGCGUUUACUUGAAUGCACAAGAGUUGUUGAUGUGACUCCAUUAGUACAUGCACAUGGCUUGUUAAUAUGCCAUGUUAAUGCAAUUUAACAUAUGACAUACUGACUCGCCAUUAUUUUGAUAAUGUAUUGUGCAAUGUUUGACAUUUUUGUCCGCAGUUCGUGGCAAUAAUUCAGUACUUAAGAUUCCACUAGUAAAUAUGACCGCGCGUUGCAACCGGUAGUAAAGAUUUCUUACCUGAGACGCUAUCAUUUUAAUCCAAUUUUAAUUCUGGCUUGUCAUAUUGAUGGUGUGCACCUACGACCGCACUCAGGCAUCAUCGACGUGGUGUUGUUCGACAUUGAGGAGGCCGUAUUUAUAGAUUAAGUCUAUUCAAAAAAGCCUAUAUGCAUAUCCAUCACAUGCAAUAGAUGAAACACAAAUUAAGAUUGUACUUAUCAAUUCAACUGUUAUCCUCAAACAAAAAAAUUAACUAUUAACAUUCAUUACUAUCAGAUGAAUAGUUUAGAUGUUUUUAAAAUAAACCUUCAUGUAAUUCUGAUGUUCAUCAAUUUUAUAAGUGCAUGUACAACCUAUAAAAAUUGUUUGUGUAUUCACUAAAAAAAUGUAGUCCGUUGGUUACCUAUUAACGUUCAUCACUAUCAGAUUAAUAGUUCAGAUGUUUUUAAAAUAAACCUCCAUGUACUUUUGAUGUUCAUCAAUUUUAUAAGUGCAUGUACAACCUAUAAUUUUUUGUGUGUAUUCAUUACAAAAAAGUGUAGUCUGUUGGUAAGAACGCGCGUGGACUUUAUAAAAAAAAGGCACGUACGUAAGAUCUUAAAUCAUGAAAUAUGUAAAAAAAAAACUAGUGCAAGUACAUCAUGCCCAAGGAUUAUAACAUUUCCUAAAUAUUGACGUUUAAGUUUACAUGUUACAAUACAGAUCGUCAGUACGAAAUAAAGACAAAUAUUGUUAACAUUGUACCCUAUAUAGUAUUUUAAAAAUAUUUAACAUGUAAAAUAACAACAUAUUCAAACUCUACACAUUUUUCUAAUCAAAUUUCAUAUAUAACAUGUUUAAGGUUUAAAAGAUAUUGUUAUUUGAAAAUACAUAUUUAUUGUGAAUAGACUCUGGGGAUAUUAACGCAUAUGCCAGGGGGGUUUACGUAAAAUUGUAAAAAAAGAAUUUGCUCUGACUAAAAUUUGGACCAUGGGAUAUUUAGCAUAAAAGUCAGGGGGUUUUAUAUAAAUGCAAAAAAACGGUUCGGUCUUAUUUAGAAACGGAUCGUGGGUUAAUUAACGGAAACGACAUGGGGUUUUCUGCAAAAUGACGCGACGGACGGUAGAAGCUAUCCGUGCUUCCAUGGUAGUCUUUUGGUCUGCUUAGUUGUCAAUUUUAGUUGGAAAAAACAAAUGUAGGAUUUAUUGAGGUCAAGUCAAUAAAUAUUCAUGAUGAUAUCUUUUUCCUGAAUUUCUUAUCCAUGAUCAACUGAGAGUCGAAUACUUAAGUGGUCAGGAGGGCUUCAAAUACAAUAAUGCAAACAUCUCCAUUGAUGCUACAACUACGAAGCAUCUCCAUGAUUUUGAAGUGAGUCUCCAUGUUAAUUACAUUACUUUUUUGCAUCAUGCCCUAUUGAUCUAAAAGUUAUUUAAUUUUCUAAAUUUCAUAGGAUGCUUAUAUGAUAGAAAAAAUUAUGUCCUUACCUUUGUAGACUGCCCUAAAUUUGGUUCUGCAGUUUUUGCUUGCAUCAGGUAUUUGUGCUUUUAGCCUACCCCAACUUGUUUGGGACUGAAAGGCUUGGUUGUUGUUGUUGUUGUUGUUGUAUCCCUAAUUGGAAGUACAAUGCACCUUAACCUAGUGUUGAGGUAUUUGUGCUUUAUUAGGCACUUUAUGUUCCACUGCUCUAUAUACAUUUCAGAUUAUUUUUCCAGGCAGUACGUACAGAUGUGGAUUAUACUGUACUUACUGCUUAUCAUCGUCUAUAUGACCAUAACAUACUUCUGUGCACGAUCAGAUGGAUGGGAGGUGGGACACGAUUUUGCAAGUACAGACAGAAAAAUGCACUAUGUUUGAUCAUCUUAUUAUUGUACCUUGUCUUUUUCUGUUCAGGUGGAUUCUGAAUAUAUUCCAAACAGAGGAAUUAUUCAGGAACCAAGGGUAAUAUGUCUGAUACUUUGUUACGAAGAUUGAAAACAUAAUAAUGGUAGAAAUAAUUUCCACUUGUUUGCUGUCGUGGGUAUAAGCCUGACAGUAGAUGUGUAGGGUACGAAUGAGAUGGGCAGAGUCCUAGCUACGGCGAGGUUGUAUGAGUUCAGGCCCCUCUACGGUGGAGGUAAUAGCCCUACGUCUCAGUGCUCUCGGAGCUUGUUGUCGAGUGUAAUAUGGAAUACAGUGAUUUGCUAACCCCUCUACCAGUGGGGGAGGGCGGCUUAUAUAGAGUGCGCUGCCCUCCACAACGGUUCUGGUACGGGGGUGGAGUAGUGGGGAUUGAAUGCGCACGUUACAGGUAACGUAUGCUCUAAAUGCUAAUAAAUGCACCUGGAAACGUACGACCGUUUCCCUCUAGAGGGGUUACGAUGUACCGAGUGUAUCCAGUCGGUUAGCUUGGUACCUUCCGAAUGCUAGUCUCCGACUGGAUGAUACAGGACCUGUUGCCGACUGGAUGAUGGGGACUCCUUAACUCAGUCGGGGCAGACUUGGGGUCCUGUCCUUUAUGUGGGGUAGUCCUUGGGUAGGACCUGUAUGGCAGGCCUAUGACCCUACCCUAGGACUAUGACCCCAUCAUUAGUCCCCGAAUGGAUUGGGGUUGAAACGACGAAGCGGUGCUUGAGGUUCGGAUCCGACUGGAUUACAUUCGGCUUGGGCGUUGCUAGCCUCUAACCAUUUUAUCUUUUCUGACCAACGAUCCGAGUGGAAGUGCUUGCGAAACAGACUGUCGGGAGCCGAGUGUUUCUGCGGCAUCUUUUGACGCGACCGGUCAACUGACAGCGGCGGAUUUUCCGGAAUCUCAAAUUUCGGGUUUCGCGCGCUCAGC